rnacentral:rRNA from 1 species
UGGGGAAUAUUGCACAAUGGGCGCAAGCCUGAUGCAGCCAUGCCGCGUGUGUGAAGAAGGCCUUCGGGUUGUAAAGCACUUUCAGCGGGGAGGAAGGCGUUAAGGUUAAUAACCUUGGCGAUUGACGUUACCCGCAGAAGAGGCACCGGCUAACUCCGUGCCAGCAGCCGCGGUAAUACGGAGGGUGCAAGCGUUAAUCGGAAUUACUGGGCGUAAAGCGCACGCAGGCGGUCUGUCAAGUCGGAUGUGAAAUCCCCGGGCUCAACCUGGGAACUGCAUUCGAAACUGGCAGGCUAGAGUCUUGUAGAGGGGGGUAGAAUUCCAGGUGUAGCGGUGAAAUGCGUAGAGAUCUGGAGGAAUACCGGUGGCGAAGGCGGCCCCCUGGACAAAGACUGACGCUCAGGUGCGAAAGCGUGGGGAGCAAACAGG